rnacentral:rRNA from 1 species
AGAGUUUGAUCAUGGCUCAGGACGAACGCUGGCGGCGUGCUUAACACAUGCAAGUCGAACGGAAAGGCCCUCACCUUGGUGGGGGUGCUCGAGUGGCGAACGGGUGAGUAACACGUGGGUGAUCUGCCCUGUACUUCGGGAUAAGCUUGGGAAACUGGGUCUAAUACCGGAUAGGACCAUGGUUUAGUGUCUCAUGGUGGAAAGAUUAUUGUUUUGGUGCAGGAUGAGCUCGCGGCCUAUCAGCUUGUUGGUGGGGUAAUGGCCUACCAAGGCGUCGACGGGUAGCCGGCCUGAGAGGGUGGACGGCCACAUUGGGACUGAGAUACGGCCCAGACUCCUACGGGAGGCAGCAGUGGGGAAUAUUGCACAAUGGGCGGAAGCCUGAUGCAGCGACGCCGCGUGGGGGAUGACGGCCUUCGGGUUGUAAACUCCUUUCAGCCAUGACGAAGCGUUAUGUGACGGUAGUGGUAGAAGAAGCACCGGCUAACUACGUGCCAGCAGCCGCGGU